rnacentral:rRNA from 1 species
AGAGUUUGAUCCUGGCUCAGAACGAACGCUGGCGGCGUGCCUAACACAUGCAAGUCGAACGCGAAAAGCAGUAAUGCUGAGUAGAGUGGCGCACGGGUGAGUAACACGUAAAUGACAUGUCUUGGAGAGAGGGAUAACUGUUCGAAAGGAUAGCUAAUACCUCAUAAGCCCACGUCCUUGGGGAUGCGGGAAAAGGGUCGGGACCUUUCGAGGCCGAUCGCUUCUUGAGUGGUUUGCGGCCCAUCAGGUAGUUGGCGAGGUAACGGCUCACCAAGCCUAAGACGGGUAGCUGGUCUGAGAGGAUGAUCAGCCACACUGGAACUGAGACACGGUCCAGACUCCUACGGGAGGCAGCAGUGGGGAAUCUUGCGCAAUGGGAGCAAUCCUGACGCAGCAACGCCGCGUGGGUGAUGAAGGUCUUCGGAUCGUAAAGCCCUGUCGGAGGGGAAGAUGCUUGGAACGUCUAAUAGAUGAGCCAGGUGACGGUACCCUCAAAGGAAGCACCGGCUAACUCUGUGCCAGCAGCCGCGGUAAUACAGAGGGUGCAAGCGUUGUUCGGAAUUAUUGGGCGUAAAGGGAGUGUAGGCGGUUUUCUAAGUCUUCUGUGAAAUCUACGGGCUUAGCCUGUAACGUGCAGAGGAAACUGGAAGGCUUGAGUGUCGGAGAGGAUAGGGGAAUUCCCGGUGUAGAGGUGAAAUUCGUAGAGAUCGGGAGGAACACCAGUGGCGAAGGCGCCUAUCUGGCUGACAACUGACGCUGAGACUCGAAAGCAUGGGGAGCAAACAGGAUUAGAUACCCUAGUAGUCC